rnacentral:rRNA from 1 species
AGGACGAACGCUGGCGGCGUGCUUCAUACAUGCAAGUCGAACGAUAAGGUUUCUUCGGAGAUACAUAAGUGGCGGACGGGUGAGUAAAAUGUAGAGAAUCUGCCCUAGAGAUGGGGACAACAGUUGGAAACGACUGCUAAUACCCAAUAUGAGCGUAGUUGAAAUACUAUUCUUGAAAACUCCGGUGCUCUGGGAUGAGUCUGCAUCUGAUUAGCUAGUUGGAGGUGUAAUGGACCACCAAGGCGACGAUCAGUAGCUGGUUUGAGAGGAUGAUCAGCCACAAUGGGACUGAGACACGGCCCAUACUCCUACGGGAGGCAGCAGUAGGGAAUUUUGCGCAAUGGGGGAAACCCUGACGCAGCCAACGCCGCGUGAAUGAAGAAGCCCUUCGGGGUGUAAAGUUCUGUCAGUAGGGAAGAAUAAAUGACUGUACCUACAGAGGAAGCAUCGGCUAACUCCGUGCCAGCAGCCGC